UACCAGCACCCCCGAGUGGUCGGGACGAUUAUUGGGCCUAAAGCAUCCGUAGCCGGCCUUACAAGUCCUCCGUUAAAUCCAGCUGCUUAACAGAUGGGCUGCGGAGGAUACUAUAAGACUAGGAGGCAGGAGAGGCAAGCGGUACUCAGUGGGUAGGGGGUAAAAAUCCGUUGAUCCAUUGAAGACCACCAGUGGCGAAGGCGGCUUGCCAGAAUGCGCUCGACGGUGAGGGAUGAAAGCUGGGGGGAGCAAACCGG
rnacentral:rRNA from 1 species